UGCGGGGAGGAGAUGGGAAGAGGGAGGGGGUUAAAUGCUAAUGAUAUUAAUGAACCUCCAAGCGGCUUCCAAAGAAAAUGCAGGCGCUCUGGGAGCUGACGAGUUAGAGUGUGAAUACGCGAGUGCGGCUCCCUCCGUGCGUGCGUGAUGAGUGCCAGACACAUAGAUUCGUGGAAGAAAUUGGGUGGCUGUGUCUGUGUGUGAUUGUGCGCGCCCGGACAUGGUCAUGUGAGUUGGUUCAUUGUUGGUCCCGCGCCCCUUCUGUUGGGUAAAACUUGGAUCUGGCCCGAGCACCUCUUAGGUGGUCAGCUGUGUCCAGAUGGGGCCGAGUGUCUCCUUCCCAGCCACCAGCUGUCAAAAAUUCACUGAAGCGUGUGAUGGAUGAAAACUGUGUUCUUUUCACCGGAAGCAGCGGCGAUGGAACUAGCUGCUGAUGUGCUGGGUGAAGAGUGGGAGGGUUAUGUGUCGGAAUCAGUGGUGAGAGCCACAGAGAAGGUGUUUCCAUGAAGCAUGGUGUCUUGACCCACAGCAGAGUGUACCUGCUCUUGAGGAAGGGGUAUUCUUGUUAUAGACCAAGGAGAACUGGGAAGAGAAAGCUCAUGUUUGUUCUCAGAUGCCAAUCUGAGUGUUCUCAACUUGGCUGGAGGAGGAGGAGGAGGAAAAACAACAACAAGAAGAACAACAACAGGAAGA